rnacentral:rRNA from 1 species
UUGCUGACGAGUGGCGGACGGGUGAGUAAUGCUUGGGAAUCUGGCUUAUGGAGGGGGAUAACUACGGGAAACUGUAGCUAAUACCGCGUAGUAUCGGAAGAUGAAAGUGUGGGACCUUCGGGCCACAUGCCAUAGGAUGAGCCCAAGUGGGAUUAGGUAGUUGGUUAGGUAAAGGCUGACCAAGCCGACGAUCUCUAGCUGGUCUGAGAGGAUGACCAGCCACACUGGAACUGAGACACGGUCCAGACUCC